ensembl:lncRNA
AAUCUUCGAUGGCCUUUGAUAGGCAGCAUCACCCUUCCAUUUUACAGGCAGACAAACUGAGGCAGCUGACCCAACAACUACAGCCAACACACAGGCUUCAAAGCCAAUCCCUGCGCCAUGAAACUGGCAGGCUGGCACUCACACAGUGUACAUCCUGGGGCCUUCACAAGGGCAAUAGGUGUGGGAAGGUCAGGAAGAGUCUUGAUUGGGGAGGGAUGGGCAGGCAGGGAGGUGAGUGGGGCCAAAGAAUGAUACCCCUUCUGUGAACUGAGGUGGGGAUGGAAAGGCUGGGUGCCAGAAUGCCAAGGCUCUGCAACCGGGGCUUCAGGUGAGUAUGACAGUGAAAAGGCUAGGGUCACAGGAUGCCCUGUAGAAGGAAUCUUCCUGCCCGCCGUGUCAACAGGGGAGGCCAUAGGGCCACAGGGCUGGGACCCACUGCCCUCACCCAGCCUUCUUUGCGUGGGUCCUGCCACACCCCAGAGCCACUGCUUAGAGGCAGUGGCGGCCAUUGUUAUUCCUUUUACUGCCUCUCCCAUGCCCUGAGCCUCUGUGUUAGGAAAUUUUCUCUGGGAACUCACACCGCCAGCCCUAGUUUCAGGAUGGGAAAACCGAAAUUGAGUAGAGACUCGAAUCCAGGGCCCUGAAACCUAAUCUCUUCAAAUAUUAUACUGUGUAUAUUGGGGUUUCUCAGUCAAAUAAUUCUAACUCACCCAGGUCUGUUCCACCAGGAUUCCUGGGGAGCUGGGGUGGUUAGCCCAGGAAAUCAGGGUUCUCUGUGACCCAUGCCACUACUGUCUCAGCCAAGAUGCAGGAGGUCCCCAGAGCUGACUCCAAAGUCCAACUGACACAUCCUCAGGAGACCAGUCUGAGGGGGACAUGACAGGUCCUCAGGGAGCCCAAGUAUCAGGGCAAUAUGGCUGCAGGAGACACAGGCCUUCUUCAAGCAGCCCCAGUCUGAGGUGGAAAGUAGAUACAGGCACCACAGAUGGCAAUACUGUUCUGCUCUUGGAGCUGGUGUGGAGAUCCAUGAAGUGGACCCUGGAGUCUGUUUCCACAGGGAUGAGAAUAUGUGAGAAGCUGUAACAGACUGUGGGGAAAGCUGGCAUCACACGCUUUCCAGAUGUGCGUCCUCCUGCAUCCUCAGACUGUUUGACUAACAGGGAGCCCCACGGGGGUCCAUUCUUCCCAUGAAGUAUAGGGACCAUGGAGACCGGGACAAUGGUGGGCCCAGGGCCUGGCACACAGCAGGCACUGAGGACCCAGGAAGGAAAGAGGAAGUGUAGAGGGACAGUGCUGAUGCCGGACUCCAAAGGGCUUGGCUCCUAGACAAACAACAGAAGGAAUGAAGGGGGAGCAGAGAAAAAAGUGGAUGAGAAGCAAGGCUUGCGGGACCCAUUGUCUGCUGUGCCCAGCCCAGGUUCCCCAGCUCACUACGUCUGUGUUCAGACCUGAGUUCCUUGCCAGAAGCCUGGCCUCAGCUCCUUCCCAUGCUCCCUUGCUCCCUCCAGGAGGCCUUGGCUCCUGAGAGCUCUGGGUGGGGCUUUUCUUGUCUUUCUUUGCAGAUGGAAGAAGUACAACUUGGGAAACCACUUGAUCCUGCGCCAACUACAGCCUCAGUGUCUGGAUCUGUAAAAUGGGAGAUAAAACGAGACUCUGUGAGAUUCCAUAUUGAGUUCUGGAGUGGAACCAGCUGUUUGGUCAGUGUUCUGUGCUACCAUCUCUACGGUCCCCACGGGCUAUGACCAGCUGUUUCUAGGAGCACUGCCCCGGUUUUUUAGCAGAAGGACCAGUGAUCUCAUUCACUAAGCAGGAGGAGUCCUAGAGUUGCUUUUGCAGGAGGCCUUAGCUUCAGAGAGAAAGUCAGGACCAUGGAGCCAGAAAAGGAGGGGGCUUGGGAGAGACUUGUAAUGGAAGAUGUGCAAGAAGGAAUGGAGUUCAGGGUGAAACAAGAGAAAGGACUUCUCAGUACCUGACAGGCUGAGAGGAAACCAGUGCUCUGGUGCCUGACGCUCAGGGAAACUUUGGUUGGAGAGAUCUCUUGAGCUCAUCUUCUGCUUGUAGGUUUUCAAAGUGUUCACCUGGUCGUGCGGCCACAGCAUUUAGCUUAUAACCUAGGUGGCGAGCACUGUCCACUCCUUUUGUAUAAGAGGAAACAAAGUUCCAAAUGAUCAUGGGAAUAGCCAAAGUUUGCCCAGCAGAGGUGGUGGGGGUGGGGUAGGGCCUGGAGCCAGGCUUCUGACUUUCCCUCA